rnacentral:misc_RNA from 1 species
GUAUCUGUUCUUGAGCGCUGUCGGAAAAAACUGUCAGAAACAGUGUCUGCUAAAGCUGGAGACAGGCUAUGUCUUGCACUGGAUGCUGAGCUGAAGGAAAUGCAAGAGAGGAUGGCAAAUCGUCGUGUUUAUGAAACAUCUGGUAGAGCUUACGUCUUGUCAGGAUUGAGUUCACAUUCAUGGCAGAGAGCAACAGCUCGUGGUGAUUCUACUGAUAGUACAAGCCUGAUUCAAGCUUACCAGACACCAUCCAUGAUUGACAUGGUUAGCCGAUCACAAACAAUGUACCUCGGUAGUCCAGCUCCUCGGCCACCUCUAAGGCCUCUACGAUCAUUUCCUGCUCGACAACAGCCUAGGUGAUCCUCAACACACCUUUUCUUCCCUCUACUUUCAAGAAUUGGUUAUGUCAAGACUCUAGACUGAUUUUUUCUUUUGUUUUUUCCUCCUGUUUCAAUCUUUUCGGGUUUUGGGUAAUCAUGGGCUAAAGGGAGGUAUAUUUCUAGUAAAAAUGUACAUUAAUAAAGAAGAUUUUGGCAAGAAUUGAGGGCAAAGACAAAAGAAAAAUAGCCAGUAAAUUGGCUUCAAGAGGAAUUGAGUGAGGGUUAGCAUUGAAAAUCCUAGAGCUGAGGCUCUAUCGGAAACAGUCUCUCUAUCUCCCGAGGUAGAGGUAAGGUCUGCAUACACUCUAUCCUCUUCAGACUCCACUCGUGGAACUGUAUUGUUGACUAUUAUGGGUGUAUAAAGGAGAAAUUCUGU